GAUGAACGCUGGCGGCAUGCCUAAUACAUGCAAGUCGAACGAGAGGAAGGAAAGCUUGCUUUCCUGAAUCUAGUGGCGAACGGGUGAGUAACACGUAGGUAACCUGCCCAUGUGCCCGGGAUAACUUCUGGAAACGGAUGCUAAAACCGGAUAGGUAGCAGACAAGCAUUUGACUGCUAUUAAAGUGGCCUUGGCCAUGAACAUGGAUGGACCUGCGGUGCAUUAGCUAGUUGGUGAGGUAACGGCCCACCAAGGCGACGAUGCAUAGCCGGCCUGAGAGGGCGGACGGCCACAUUGGGACUGAGACACGGCCCAAACUCCUACGGGAGGCAGCAGUAGGGAAUUUUCGUCAAUGGGGGGAACCCUGAACGAGCAAUGCCGCGUGAGUGAGGAAGGUCUUCGGAUCGUAAAGCUCUGUUGUAAGAGAAAAACGGCACUCAUAGGGAAUGAUGAGUGAGUGAUGGUAUCUUACCAGAAAGUCACGGCUAACUACGUGCCAGCAGCCGCCGUAAAAC
rnacentral:rRNA from 1 species